rnacentral:tRNA from 1 species
GGGGUUGUGGCUCAGUGGUAGAGCGCUCGCCUAGCGCGCGUAAAGCACUGGGUUUGAUCCUCAGCUCCA